GAUAUGUUCUGAAUAGUGUACUA
rnacentral:siRNA from 1 species